GACGAACGCUGGCGGCGUGCUUAACACAUGCAAGUCGAACGGAAAGGCCCUGCUUUUGUGGGGUGCUCGAGUGGCGAACGGGUGAGUAACACGUGAGUAACCUGCCCUUGACUUUGGGAUAACUUCAGGAAACUGGGGCUAAUACCGGAUAGGAGCUCCUGCUGCAUGGUGGGGGUUGGAAAGUUUCGGCGGUUGGGGAUGGACUCGCGGCGUAUCAGCUUGUUGGUGGGGUAGUGGCUUACCAAGGCUUUGACGGGUAGCCGGCCUGAGAGGGUGACCGGCCACAUUGGGACUGAGAUACGGCCCAGACUCCUACGGGAGGCAGCAGUGGGGAAUAUCGCACAAUGGGCGGAAGCCUGAUGCAGCAACGCCGCGUGCGGGAUGACGGCCUUCGGGUUGUAAACCGCUUUCGCCUGUGACGAAGCGUGAGUGACGGUAAUGGGUAAAGAAGCACCGGCUAACUACGUG
rnacentral:rRNA from 1 species